GAAGAGAAAGAGGAACAACAGUCAACCGGCGUGAUACAGAGAGACUUUGUCAUUUCUUAAAAACACUUGUUUUUUUUGUUUUGGACACAGAAAAGUAUUUUUCAAAGGCAGAUAACGACUGACUUUUCAUCAUUUUAUUCCAUUUUCCUUUUGGUGUACGAGGAAUACAGCAUCCUCCAGCCACUCCCUGUCCACAGGUUACUUUCACUUUGUGAGCUCGUCGUGUCGCAGCUUCUUCUUCUGUCCAUGUGAAGUGUUUCCUCUACAGAUGAAGGUAGAAAGUCUCUGGGAGCUGAUGUGGAUGUGAAUUCAGCAGCAGCUGCCAAGAUACUGCAGCUCAAAGUGCCAACAACAUUUCUACUCUGCCAUGGAAACUGUCAGAUGAGUGGAUUUAGUAUUGAGCUGAAUGAACCGUUUAUAUCAGCCAGUAGAGUCUUAUUGUCCUAUUGUGUGUUAGAAAUAUACAGUCUGCAUCUCCAGCAUUUACAGACUGACAGAUGCUAACUUGCAUAUGUUGGUAAAAUAGCAGAAUAAGCAUUAAUAAUCAGCUAUAUGGACAAUAUUUCAGUAAUUGGCCCAUUUGGACAAUAUAGGAGUAGUUUAUUGGGGUUAUUGAGGAUGAUGAAUCCAUUUCUGACAUCUUUGGAACCAGAAAACCAGAAGUGGCAACAUUUCAUCUCCCAGUGGGCUGAUUUUUGAGUAUUUUGUUGUCAAUUUUGAGAUUAUUUACAUGCUUAAUGCAUAACCACAGCUGCAGAGACACAGGUCAAUGAGAAAAUGCUGCACAGAAAAAGAACACCGGCAGAAAUUUGAAUAAAUAUCUGAACAUUCACACCAAUGACUAAAAGCUUCCUAAAAUGCACUGUCAAUGUAUUAUGCAUAUAAAUAACCUCAAAAUCAAUCAAAAUCAGUGAACCUGGUCAGAAAUAGAUCCACCAUCCUCAGAAACCCCCCAAACCACGACGUCAGUAUCCAGAUCAGCAUCGGUCAGUUUCUAAAUGCUGGGGACCCACACUGUAUAUUUCUAACAUAAAACUUUAGUACUCAACAUUUUGAGUUCAUGUUGCUGCAAGUCGACUAAUCCCUCCAAUCAGAGCUGUGUGUGUUUGUCAUGUGACUGAGAGGAAUGAUGGGAAAUAAUGUGUGAUCUCUCCCAGCAGGUUGCUGUGUCUGUGUGAAGGUGUGGGCUCUGCUAUGAAUCAGUGUGAGGACAGAGAGGAGGGAGUCCCUCCCUCUAAAAG